UAGAAACCGAAUAUAUUUUUUCAGGUUUUUAUGUGGUGCUUUACAUUAUAGUAUCUGAAAGUCAGAUGCUAUAUACUAUUUCUAUCUAUUUGCCUGUCUAUAAACCUGUUGUGAAAUGUAAUAACUUUAUUUUUCCUCAGCAUUUAUUUUGAAUGUAAGUUGAACUUUCUUAUGCAAGAAACAGGGCUUAGUCAUCUUUGACACGGUUUUUGGCUCUCCACCUCCUCCCAGUUCCUCAAGAUGGUAUAUCCACGUCUGCCUUAUACAGCCACCUCCUGGUGACCAUCUCCCUACAGGAAGCUGGAUACAACAUAAUUGAGACUCCUACCGAGCCCCGCAUCCUGCAUCAACUGCACAGAUAUGGUAUAGUGACCAUUUCUCUGUGACAUCAUGAUUCCAUGGAACUUGUACCUGCUUGCUACUGACUUACCAAUUAGAACUCCCUGCAGAGAAACCUGCUUGGGUAAUACCCUAGACACCAUCAAAGACACUUGGCCUCAGAUCCCUCCCUUCUUCUCCCCAUUUUUGCUCCUCACCUACUGCCUCAGAGUGAAACUGGAAUGGAAUGCAUAAUCCAUUUAAUGAUGCCAAUGUUUGCCAGUCUGUCUCACCAGCUUGAGUCCAUGGAAGAGAUAAUUUUGAAGUAAAAAAUGUUACUCCAUUUACUAAGCAAACAGAGGGAGAUAUGGAGCCAUUCAGCAAGAUCAGGUUCUACUGUUGAGGAUGCUUCACAACAUGCUGAAGUUACUGCUGGAAUCUACACAACCAAGAGAAAAUGCUGCAGUAGGAGGGUCUUCCACUGUGGCAUCACCCAAAGGGGAUUGAAAAAGAGAAAUGUAAAAGUACAAAGCCAAUUAUGUAAGCAAGAGUGACAGGAAAACCAGGUAUGUGAAUUAGUACUUGUUAUACAUUUGAUUAUUUUAAACUAGGUGUGGUGUCUAUUUAUUCUUUGCAGAUGAGUGGCUUGAUUAGCUCCUAAUAAGUCUUUUGCCUGUAAUGUCCUCUAUUGAGAUACUAAUGUCUGCUUACCUUCUUUUUCAGUGUUUUGAAGAGUAAGCCCAAUGACAGAUAUAUUAAUGUUUAAACUCAUAUGCAUAAAUGUAAUCUCUUAAAAAUGUUUCUAAUUCCUAUUAUACACCCUGAGUUUAGUAAUGCACUAUUGGCUAUAGCUCAAUAACAAAA
rnacentral:lncRNA from 13 species